rnacentral:lncRNA from 1 species
UUUAUUUUAAUAUUUUAUUGCGAACACUGUGAGAAAUCGAAUCGAAAACCGAUUGAAAAAGCCGAAAACCAAUUGAAAAUCAAAAGAUUUGGGUCGAAUCGAACCGAAUCGAACCGGUUCGACCCAAACCAUCUAGAAACAUCUAUUUCUUUUCUUUUUAUCUCCAGCGCUGCACCUCUACUUCUCAUCCUCACCAGCGCCCCACCUCCACUCCACCAACACAGCCACCGCGCCUCCUCCUCCCUCUCUUCUUCUUCUUCUUCUUCUUCUUCUUCUUUCUUUCUUUCUUUCUUUCCUUUUUCUUUCUUUCUUUCCCUUUCUUCUUCCCUGCAACUGUGUCUGCGUCACUGCCAGCAACUCCAGCAACGUCGGCCGAUCACCACCGCGCGCCAGUUGCAGUCGCACCCCCCCCAUC